CCGCGUGGUGCACUGCUGGCUUGUCCUGGGGACCCCUGGGGUGAGACGACUGGGGCAAGAAAGGCCAAAACCUCUGAAAGCUUUGGAGGUGUUGCUCCCCGCGAAGGAUCCAGCCCUGCGACCCCAGCUGGAGAGCGAUGCUGAGGUCCAUGGAGAACCUGGAGGGUGUUUGGUACUGGACAAGAGAGGAAGUGGGCUUCCCUGGACCAGGAGAAGGGGACAUGCGAAUCUAGCAUGUACUCGCGCCCAUGUUGCCCCAGCGUCUGGGCUGGCCUCUGCCCAAAGUGUUUCCUCUGGCUCCUCCCCACAAUCAAACCUUGACAACCAGCCUCUGGAUCCUUCUAGUUCUGGGGUGCCCCACAAGGCCUGAAGGCUGCGUGAAAUCUUUCUGUACUCCAGCAGGAGCCUGCUUGCCUGAAUUCAGCCACCAGCGGGAAGCAAGAAGGUAGGCAUCCCCAAGCCUUCCCGGCACUGCUGUCAAAAUUAUGGAUGCUCCCGGGUGUGGAUGCGCUGGUUUUUGCCCAUGGUGGAGGACUUGCUGAAUCUCUUCCCACACACAGAGAACUGAUGUAGCUCUUUCCCUGUGUUGAUCUGCUGGUGCUUGGUCAGGCUGGAGGAUUCGCUGAAUCUCUUCCCACACUCAGCACUGAUGUGGCUUCUCUCCCAUGUGCAUGCGCUGAUGGAUGGCCAGGCUGGAGGAGUGGGUGAAUCUCUUCCCACACUCAGAGCACUGAUGUGGCUUCUCCCCUGUAUGAAUGCGCUGGUGUAUGGCCAGGCCAGAGGAGUCGUGAAGCUCUUCCUCCAAAUAGAGCAAUGAUGUGACGACUGGGUAAAUAUCUUCCCACACUUUGAGCACUUA